rnacentral:rRNA from 2 species
AAAUUGAAGAGUUUGAUCAUGGCUCAGAUUGAACGCUGGCGGCAGGCCUAACACAUGCAAGUCGAACGGUAACAGGAAGCAGCUUGCUGCUUUGCUGACGAGUGGCGGACGGGUGAGUAAUGUCUGGGAAACUGCCUGAUGGAGGGGGAUAACUACUGGAAACGGUGGCUAAUACCGCAUAACGUCGCAAGACCAAAGAGGGGGACCUUCGGGCCUCUUGCCAUCAGAUGUGCCCAGAUGGGAUUAGCUAGUUGGUGAGGUAACGGCUCACCAAGGCGACGAUCCCUAGCUGGUCUGAGAGGAUGGCCAGCCACACUGGAACUGAGACACGGUCCAGACUCCUACGGGAGGCAGCAGUGGGGAAUAUUGCACAAUGGGCGCAAGCCUGAUGCAGCCAUGCCGCGUGUAUGAAGAAGGCCUUCGGGUUGUAAAGUACUUUCAGCGGGGAGGAAGGUGUUGUGGUUAAUAACCGCAGCAAUUGACGUUACCCGCAGAAGAAGCACCGGCUAACUCCGUGCCAGCAGCCGCGGUAAUACGGAGGGUGCAAGCGUUAAUCGGAAUUACUGGGCGUAAAGCGCACGCAGGCGGUCUGUCAAGUCGGAUGUGAAAUCCCCGGGCUCAACCUGGGAACUGCAUUCGAAACUGGCAG